rnacentral:rRNA from 1 species
UACGUAGGGUGCAAGCGUUGUCCGGAAUUAUUGGGCGUAAAGAGCUCGUAGGCGGUUUGUCGCGUCGAAUGUGAAAACCCGGGGCUCAACCCCGGGCCUGCAUUCGAUACGGGCAGACUAGAGUUCGGUAGGGGAGUCUGGAAUUCCUGGUGUAGCGGUGAAAUGCGCAGAUAUCAGGAGGAACACCGGUGGCGAAGGCGGGACUCUGGGCAUUACCUGACGCUGAGGAGCGAAAGUGUGGGGAGCGAACAGG